UACGAAGGGGGCUAGCGUUGCUCGGAAUCACUGGGCGUAAAGCGCACGUAGGCGGAUUGCUAAGUCAGGGGUGAAAUCCUGGAGCUCAACUCCAGAACUGCCUUUGAUACUGGCGACCUUGAGUCCGGGAGAGGUGGGUGGAACUGCGAGUGUAGAGGUGAAAUUCGUAGAUAUUCGCAAGAACACCAGUGGCGAAGGCGGCUCACUGGCUCGAUACUGACGCUGAGGUGCGAAAGCGUGGGGAGCAAACAGG
rnacentral:rRNA from 1 species